AACGAACGCUGGCGGCAUGCCUAAUACAUGCAAGUCGAACGAACACUUCGGUGUUAGUGGCGCACGGGUGCGUAACGCGUGGGAAUCUGCCCUUGGGUUCGGAAUAACGUCGGGAAACUGACGCUAAUACCGGAUGAUGACGUAAGUCCAAAGAUUUAUCGCCCAAGGAUGAGCCCGCGUAGGAUUAGGUAGUUGGUGAGGUAAAGGCUCACCAAGCCUACGAUCCUUAGCUGGUCUGAGAGGAUGAUCAGCCACACUGGGACUGAGACACGGCCCAGACUCCUACGGGAGGCAGCAGUAGGGAAUAUUGGACAAUGGGGGCAACCCUGAUCCAGCAAUGCCGCGUGAGCGAUGAAGGCCUUAGGGUUGUAAAGCUCUUUUACCCGGGAUGAUAAUGACAGUACCGGGAGAAUAAGCCCCGGCUAACUCCGUGCCAGCAGCCGCCGUAAAAC
rnacentral:rRNA from 1 species